rnacentral:rRNA from 1 species
GAUGAACGCUGGCGGUAUGCUUAACACAUGCAAGUCGAACGGACUCUUCGGAGUUAGUGGCGGACGGGUGAGUAACGCGUGAGAAUCUGGCUUUGGGUUCGGGACAACCACUGGAAACGGUCGCUAAUACCGGAUGUGCCGAGAGGUAAAAGAGAAAUUGCCUGAAGAUGAGCUCGCGUCUGAUUAGCUAGUUGGUGAGGUAAAGGCUCACCAAGGCAGCGAUCAGUAGCUGGUCUGAGAGGAUGACCAGCCACACUGGGACUGAGACACGGCCCAGACUCCUACGGGAGGCAGCAGUGGGGAAUUGUCCGCAAUGGGCGAAAGCCUGACGGAGCAAUACCGCGUGAGGGAAGAAGGCUCUUGGGGUGUAAACCUCUUUUCUUAGGGAAGAACAAAAUGACGGUACCUAAGGAAUCAGCAUCGGCUAACUCCGUG